rnacentral:rRNA from 1 species
AGCAUAUCAAUAAGCGGAGGAAAAGAAACUAACAAGGAUUCCCCUAGUAACUGCGAGUGAAGCGGGAAAAGCUCAAAUUUAAAAUCUGGCGGUCUUUGGCUGUCCGAGUUGUAGUCUGGAGAAGUGCUUUCCGUGCUGGACCGUGUAUAAGUCUCUUGGAAUAGAGCGUCAUAGAGGGUGAGAAUCCCGUCUUUGACACGGACUACCAGUGCUUUGUGAUGCGCUCUCAAAGAGUCGAGUUGUUUGGGAAUGCAGCUCAAAAUGGGUGGUAAAUUCCAUCUAAAGCUAAAUAUUGGCGAGAGACCGAUAGCGAACAAGUACCGUGAGGGAAAGAUGAAAAGCACUUUGGAAAGAGAGUUAAACAGUACGUGAAAUUGCUGAAAGGGAAACGCUUGAAGUCAGUCGCGUCGUUUGGAACUCAGCCUUGCUUUUGCUUGGUGCACUUUCUGAAUGACGGGCCAGCAUCAAUUUUGACCGUUGGAAAAGGGCUUGAGGAAUGUGGCACCUUCGGGUGUGUUAUAGCCUCUUGUCGCAUACAACGAUUGGGAUUGAGGACCGCAGCGCGCCGCAAGGCAGGGGUUCGCCCACUUUCGCGCUUAGGAUGCUGGCAUAAUGGCUUUAAGCGACCCGUCUUGAAACACGGACCAAGGAGUCUAACAUGCCUGCGAGUGUUUGGGUGGAAAACCCGAGCGCGUAAUGAAAGUAAAAGUUGAGACCUCUGUUGUGGAGGGCAUCGACGCCCGGACCUGACGUUCUCUGACGGAUCCGCGGUGGAGCAUGUAUGUUGGGACCCGAAAGAUGGUGAACUAUGCCUGAAUAGGGUGAAGCCAGAGGAAACUCUGGUGGAGGCUCGUAGCGAUUCUGACGUGCAAAUCGAUCGUCAAAUUUGGGUAUAGGGGCGAAAGACUAAUCGAACCAUCUAGUAGCUGGUUCCUGCCGAAGUUUCCCUCAGGA